rnacentral:tRNA from 1 species
GGCCCAUUUGUCUAGGGGUUAGGACAUUGGAUUUUGAUUCCAAAGGCAUCAGUUCGAAUCUGAUAUGGGCCU